rnacentral:tRNA from 1 species
CUCUCAAUAGCUCAGCUGGAAGAGGUUCGUGGACCGGCGACUUGGGUUUCGAAUUAAUUUCUAACUUCCAACCAGCGCAAGACUGUAAUAGAUCACGGCUGUAUCAUCUUGAGGCCCGCGGUUCGAUCCCGCGUUGGGAGA